rnacentral:tRNA from 1 species
GAUGGAGCAGUCUGGUAGCUCGUCGGGCUCAUAACCCGAAGGUCGUCGGUUCAAAUCCGGCUC